rnacentral:rRNA from 1 species
AUGCUGCAGGGGGAUGGGGGUAUUGAUGAAGAUGUGAACCAUCGAAUCGAAGCCGGAUGGAUGAAGUGGCGCCAAGCUUCUGGCAUUCUCUGUGACAAGAGAGUGCCACAAAAGCUAAAAGGCAAGUUCUACAGGACGGCGGUUCGACCCGCAAUGUUGUAUGGCACUGAGUGUUGGCCGACUAAAAGGCGACAUGUUCAACAGUUAGGUGUGGCGGAGAUGCGUAUGUUGAGAUGGAUGUGUGGCCACACGAGGCAGGAUCGAGUCCGGAAUGAUGAUAUACGAGAUAGAGUUGGGGUAGCACCAAUUGAAGAGAAGCUUGUCCAACAUCGUCUGAGAUGGUUUGGG